rnacentral:rRNA from 1 species
GACGAACCGUGCGAACGUUAUUCGGAAUCACUGGGCUUAAAGCGCGUGUAGGCGGGCCGGCACGUCGGCCGCUGAAAUCCCCCGGCUCAACCGGGGAAGCGGCGCCGAUACGACCGGCCUGGAGGGGAGUAGGGGGGCCUGGAACUUCCGGUGGAGCGGUGAAAUGCGUAGAGAUCGGAAAGAACACCAACGGCGGAAAGCACUCUGCUGGGCCGACACUGACACUGAGAGACGAAAGCUAGGGGAGCGAAUGGGAUUAGAACUACCGUAGUCAGUCCAAGACCCAA